GCAUUGGUGGUUCAGUGGUAGAAUCCUCGCCUCCCACGCGGGGGGGUUCGAUUCCCGUCCAAUGCA
rnacentral:tRNA from 1 species